CCCGCCGUAGUUCAAUGGAUAGAACGGGCGCCUCCUAAGCGCCAGAUACAGGUUCGAUUCCUGUCGGAGGGACCA
rnacentral:tRNA from 6 species